CGGCAGCCCCGACCAGCAGAAAGCCAGCGGGAGUUAGAAGUCUCCCACGUUAAAGCUGAUGCCUUAGAUGACUACCUUGCGUACCAAAACUGCCACUGAAUAAGUCUUCAAGGAGAACCCUGGCAAAGUAGAAAGGAAGAUCCCUGUACUGGUACAGCCUUCACCAUCAACACCAAAGGUAACUGAGCUGCAAAGACCCAUAGAGCUGGGAGAUGCAACAGUCUUCCUCCAUGAGUAUAGUACUAAUGAGUACUAUAUGUCAAUGCAACAACUUCUGAAUGAAUUUGUGGAAGUGUGCAUUUUGUUAAAAUCACCGCUGAAGAAGGAAAUUAAUUGCUUAGAAGGCUUCCUAGCUAGUGCAAUAAGCUACAACUGUUAUAAUGGAAUGCCACUGUAAAGGGAAAAUAGGAGCUAUUAUGAAUAUUUGCUGUGGAAUUGUCUUGUCCAGAAGAAAAAGCACCAUAUGGCUUGGAAUAUUUAAAAUAAAGCUGAA